rnacentral:tRNA from 1 species
GAGGUAUUAAAGCCAAAGAAAAAAGCUUCUAACUUUACUCUAAGCGGUUAAAUUCCGUUUAUACCUCU